GUCACAACUACUCAAAAGGAUAGAUGCCUGCUACACAAGCACCUACAAAAACAUGGCGACCACUACAUACUCUCUUUACCCCAGUCAAAGACAAGCCAACAUGCGAAUCCAGUAGAGAUCACAUAUUACCCUACCCUAAACAAGUGGUGUCCAGUAGCAGCCUUAGACGCCUAUCUUCUUAACACCACAGCACUACCAUCACAAC